rnacentral:rRNA from 1 species
AUUGAACGCUGGCGGCAUGCCUUACACAUGCAAGUCGAACGGCAGCACGGGUGCUUGCCCCUGGUGGCGAGUGGCGAACGGGUGAGUAAUACAUCGGAACAUGUCCUGUAGUGGGGGAUAGCCCGGCGAAAGCCGGAUUAAUACCGCAUACGAUCUACGGAUGAAAGCGGGGGACCUUCGGGCCUCGCGCUAUAGGGUUGGCCGAUGGCUGAUUAGCUAGUUGGUGGGGUAAAGGCCUACCAAGGCGACGAUCAGUAGUUGGUCUGAGAGGACGACCAGCCACACUGGGACUGAGACACGGCCCAGACUCCUACGGGAGGCAGCAGUGGGGAAUUUUGGACAAUGGGCGAAAGCCUGAUCCAGCAAUGCCGCGUGUGUGAAGAAGGCCUUCGGGUUGUAAAGCACUUUUGUCCGGAAAGAAAUCCUUGGCUCUAAUACAGUCGGGGGAUGACGGUACCGGAAGAAUAAGCACCGGCUAACUACGUG